rnacentral:rRNA from 1 species
AACGAACGCUGGCGGCAGGCUUAACACAUGCAAGUCGAACGGUUGUAGCAAUACAGCAGUGGCGCACGGGUGAGUAACGAGUGGAUAGCUGCCUUUUGGUUCGGAAUAACUCCGGGAAACCGGAGCUAAUACCGGAUGGUUCCUACGGGAUAAAGAUUUAUCGCCGAAAGAUGAGUCCGUGUACGAUUAGCUAGUUGGUGGGGUAAUGGCCCACCAAGGCGACGAUCGUUAGCUGGUCUGAGAGGACGAUCAGCCACACUGGACUGAGACACGGCCCAGACUCCUACGGGAGGCAGCAGUGGGGAAUAUUGGACAAUGGGGGCAACCCUGAUCCAGCCAUGCCGCGUGAGUGAUGAAGGCCUUCGGGUUGUAAAGCUCUUUUGGCGGGGACGAUAAUGACGGUACCCGCAGAAGAAGCCCCGGCUAACUUCGUGCCAGCCGCCGCAGUAAUAC